CACUGUGAGGUGUGGAGGUGACUGGUACUAAUUGGCCGAAGUGUAACAAACCACACAAUUGCCUUUUGGGUUGGUUGUGU
rnacentral:rRNA from 1 species